GACGAACGCUGGCGGCGUGCCUAAUACAUGCAAGUCGAGCGAAUCUGAGGGAGCUUGCUCCCAAAGAUUAGCGGCGGACGGGUGAGUAACACGUGGGUAACCUGCCUGUAAGAUUGGGAUAACUCCGGGAAACCGGAGCUAAUACCGGAUAACAUUUYGAACCGCAUGGUUCRAAAUUGAAAGAUGGUUUCGGCUAUCACUUACAGAUGGACCCGCGGCGCAUUAGCUAGUUGGUGAGGUAACGGCUCACCAAGGCAACGAUGCGUAGCCGACCUGAGAGGGUGAUCGGCCACACUGGGACUGAGACACGGCCCAGACUCCUACGGGAGGCAGCAGUAGGGAAUCUUCCGCAAUGGACGAAAGUCUGACGGAGCAACGCCGCGUGAACGAUGAAGGCCUUCGGGUCGUAAAGUUCUGUUGUUAGGGAAGAACAAGUACCAGAGUAACUGCUGGUACCUUGACGGUACCUAACCAGAAAGCCACBGCUAACUACGUGC
rnacentral:rRNA from 2 species